CCUACGGGUGGCUGCAGUGGGGAAUAUUGCACAAUGGGCGCAAGCCUGAUGCAGCCAUGCCGCGUGUGUGAAGAAGGCCUUCGGGUUGUAAAGCACUUUCAGCGGGGAGGAAGGCGGUGAGGUUAAUAACCUCAUCGAUUGACGUUACCCGCAGAAGAAGCACCGGCUAACUCCGUGCCAGCAGCCGCGGUAAUACGGAGGGUGCAAGCGUUAAUCGGAAUUACUGGGCGUAAAGCGCACGCAGGCGGUCUGUCAAGUCGGAUGUGAAAUCCCCGGGCUCAACCUGGGAACUGCAUUCGAAACUGGCAGGCUAGAGUCUUGUAGAGGGGGGUAGAAUUCCAGGUGUAGCGGUGAAAUGCGUAGAGAUCUGGAGGAAUACCGGUGGCGAAGGCGGCCCCCUGGACAAAGACUGACGCUCAGGUGGGAAAGCGUGGGGAGCAAACAGGAUUAGAUACCCCAGUAGUC
rnacentral:rRNA from 1 species